CCCUUAGAUGUCCUGGGCCGCACGCGCGCUACACUGAUGCAUUCAACGAGUUUUACCUUGGCCGAGAGGCCUGGGCAAUCUUUUGAACGUGCAUCGUGAUAGGGAUAGAUUAUUGCAAUUUUUAAUCUUGAACGAGGAAUUCCUAGUAAACGCAGAUCAUCAAUCUGCAUUGAUUACGUCCCUGCCCUUUGUACACACCGCCCGUCGCACCUACCGAUUGAAUGGUCCGGUGAAGCCUCGGGAUUGUGAUGAGUUCCCUUUAUUGGGAGUUUGUUGCGAGAACUUGUCUAAACCUUAUCAUUUAGAGGAAGGUGAANUCGUANCA
rnacentral:rRNA from 1 species